GGGGAGGCGGCCCGUGCGGAGCAGAGAGCCGGGGCUGGCGGGGGCAGCGAGGCGCGGGCGGCGGAGCGGCGGGAUGCGGCGCUGGCGGGGCGCGGGGCUGGCGGCGCUGGCCGCGGUGCUGCUCGUGGCUGCGGGCAGAGCCCAGGUGCAGCAGGAGCCGUUGGCACAAACCCCCGAGGGCACGGAAAUCACCAUCAACUGCUCACACCCGACCAUACGGACCAAUGACUAUAUCAACUGGUACCGUCAGCUCCCGGGCCGCGGCCCCAAAUUCCUCGUGAGCAUUCACAAAGGCUCCAGAGAUCUGCCGGACAAGGCGGGCCAGGUGUCGGUGUCGCCAGACCGUCGCUGGAGCACCCUCUGUCUCUCCGGGCCCCGUGUUGGGGACGCGGCGGUGUAUUACUGCGCCGUGGGAGACACGGCCAGAGGAGCCGGGGCUGCGGCCGGGCACGAACCGCCGCGGGCGGGGCCGGGCGGGGCCGGGGGCACAGCGCCGGCCGGGGCCAGCAGGGGCCGCUCCUGCACCUCCAGAUUUCUUUCUCAAACCAUGUCCCGCCUUCCUGGGCCCCCUUGUUUCAAAGGGCUGCUUUCCAAGGGCCUUUCCGAAUCGGUGUCCUCAACAGUCCCAAGUCCAACCUCCAGCAGUCGAGGGUACAGGUUUGAUUGA